rnacentral:rRNA from 1 species
GAUGAACGCUGGCGGCGUGCCUAAUACAUGCAAGUCGAGCGAACAGACGAGGAGCUUGCUCCUCUGACGUUAGCGGCGGACGGGUGAGUAACACGUGGAUAACCUACCUAUAAGACUGGGAUAACUUCGGGAAACCGGAGCUAAUACCGGAUAAUAUAUUGAACCGCAUGGUUCAAUAGUGAAAGACGGUCUUGCUGCCACUUAUAGAUGGAUCCGCGCUGCAUUAGCUAGUUGGUAAGGUAACGGCUUACCAAGGCGACGAUGCGUAGCCGACCUGAGAGGGUGAUCGGCCACACUGGAACUGAGACACGGUCCAGACUCCUACGGGAGGCAGCAGUAGGGAAUCUUCCGCAAUGGGCGAAAGCCUGACGGAGCAACGCCGCGUGAGUGAUGAAGGUCUUCGGAUCGUAAAACUCUGUUAUUAGGGAAGAACAAAUGUGUAAGUAACUAUGCACGUCUUGACGGUACCUAAUCAGAAAGCCACGGCUAACUACGUG